rnacentral:rRNA from 1 species
GACGACCGCUGGCGGCGUGCUUAACCCAUGCAAGUCGACCGGAAAGGCCCUGCUUUUGUGGGGUGCUCGAGUGGCGUACGGGUGAGUAACACGUGAGUAACCUGCCCUUGACUUUGGGAUAACUUCAGGAAACUGGGGCUACUACCGGCUAGGAGCUCCUGCCGCACGGUGGGGGUUGGAACGUUUCGGCGGUUGGGGAUGGGUUCGCGGCUUCUCAGCUUGUUGGUGGGGUAGUGGCAUACCAAGGCUUUGACGGGUAGCCGACCUGAGAGGCUGACCGGCCACAUUGGGACUUAGAGACGCCCCAGACUCGUACGGGACGCAGCGGUGGGGAAUAUUGCACAAUGGGCGGAAGCCAGAUGCAGCCACGCCGCGUGCGGGAUGCCGGCCUUCGGGUUGUAAACCGCUUUCGCCUGUGACGAGGCGUGAGUGACGGUAACGGGUAAAGAAGCACCGGCUAACUACGUG